rnacentral:rRNA from 1 species
UAGGGAAUCUUCCACAAUGGACGCAAGUCUGAUGGAGCAACGCCGCGUGAGUGAAGAAGGUCUUCGGAUCGUAAAACUCUGUUGUUAGAGAAGAACAUGCGAGAGAGUAACUGUUCUUGUAUUGACGGUAUCUAACCAGCAAGUCACGGCUAACUACGUGCCAG